GUCUGGUCUGUAACUGACGCUGAGGCUCGAAAGUAUGGGUAGCAAACAGGAUUAGAUACCUGGUAGUCCAUACCGUAAACGAUGAAUGCUAAGUGUUGGAGGGUUCCGCCAUUCAGUGCUGCAGCUAACGCAUUAAGCAUUCCGCUGGGGAGUACGGCCGCAAGGCUGAAACUCAAAGGAAUUGACGGGGGCCCGCACAGCGGUGGAGCAUGUGGUUUAAUUCGAAGCUACGCGAAGAACCUUACCAGGUCUUGACAUACUAUGCAAAUCUAAGAGAUUAGACGUUCCCUUCGGGGACAUGGAUACAGGUGGUGCAUGGUUGUCGUCAGCUCGUGUCGUGAGAUGUUGGGUUAAGUCCCGCAACGAGCGCAACCCUUAUUAUCAGUUGCCAGCAUUAAGUUGGGCACUCUGGUGAGACUGCCGGUGACAAACCGGAGGAAGGUGGGGAUGACGUCAAAUCAUUAUGCCCCUUAUGACCUGGGCUACACACGUGCUACAAUGGAUGGUACAACGAGUUGCGAACUCGCGAGAGUAAGCUAAUCUUUUAAAGCCAUUCUCAGUUCGGAUUGUAGGCUGCAACUCGCCUACAUGAAGUCGGAAUCGCUAGUAAUCGCGGAUCAGCAUGCCGCGGUGAAUACGUUCCCGGGCCUUGUACACACCGCCCGUCACACCAUGAGAGUUUGUAACACCCAAAGUCGGUGGGGUAACCUCUUGGAACCAGCCGCCUAAGGUGGGACAGAUGAUUAGGGUGAAGUCGUAACAAGGUAACCA
rnacentral:rRNA from 1 species